GAAUAAGCAUUAAAAUUUUUUUUAAAAAACUGGAAUGAUACAGAGAAGAUUAGCAUGGCCCCUGAGCAGGAAUAUUUUGCAGACACCUGCAAAUAUUUU
rnacentral:snRNA from 1 species